rnacentral:rRNA from 1 species
GACGAACCGUGCGAACGUUAUUCGGAAUCACUGGGCUUAAAGCGCGUGUAGGCGGGAGGGCACGUCGGUCGUUGAAAUCCCCCGGCUCAACCGGGGAAGUGGCGCCGAUACGACCCUCCUGGAGGAACGUAGGGGGACCUGGAACUUCCGGUGGAGCGGUGAAAUGCGUUGAGAUCGGAAGGAACGCCCGUGGCGAAAGCGAGGUCCUGGACGUUUUCUGACGCUGAGACGCGAAAGCCAGGGGAGCAAACGGG